CCAUCGGUGGUACAGUGGUAGAAUGCUCGCUUGCCACGCGGGCAGCCCGGGUUCGAUCCCCGGCCGAUGCC
rnacentral:tRNA from 1 species